rnacentral:rRNA from 1 species
GAUUGAUACUAAGCCAUGCGAGUCUUUGUAGUAAUACAAGGCAGACGGCUCAGUAACACGUAGUCAACCUACCCUAUGGACAAGAAUAAUCUCGGGAAACUGGGCAUAAUUCUUGAUAGAUCAUAAUGCCUGGAAUGGUUUAUGGUUAAAAUGAUUCGUCGCCAUAGGAUGGGACUGCGGCCUAUCAGCUUGUUGGUGAGGUAAUGGCCCACCAAGGCGAUUACAGGUACGGGCUCUGAGAGGAGAAGCCCGGAGAUGGGUACUGAGACACGGACCCAGGCCCUAUGGGGCGCAGCAGGCGAGAAAACUUUGCAAUGUGCGAAAGCACGACAAGGUUAAUCCGAGUGUUUUCUGCUAAAGAAAUCUUUUGCUAGUCGUAAAACCACUGGUGAAUAAGGGGUGGGCAAGUUCUGGUGUCAGCCGCCGCGGUAAAACCAGCACCUCAAGUGGUCAGGAUGAUUAUUGGGCCUAAAGCAUCCGUAGCCUGCUUUGUAAGUUUUCGGUUAAAUCCAUGUGCUCAACGCAUGGGCUGCCGAAAAUACUGCAUAGCUAGGGAGUGGGAGAGGUAGACGGUACUCAGUAGGUAGGGGUAAAAUCCUUUGAUCUAUUGAUGACCACCUGUGGCGAAGGCGGUCUACCAGAACACGUUCGACGGUGAGGGAUGAAAGCUGGGGGAGCAAACCGGAUUAGAUACCCGGGUAGUCCCAGCUGUAAACGAUGCAGACUCGAUGAUGCAUUGGCAUAAUAGCCAUUGCAGUGUCGCAGGGAAGCCGUUAAGUCUGCCGCCUGGGAAGUACGUACGCAAGUAUGAAACUUA